CCUACGGGGGGCUGCAGUGGGGAAUAUUGGACAAUGGGGGCAACCCUGAUCCAGCCAUGCCGCGUGUGUGAAGAAGGCCCUCGGGUUUUAAAGCACUUUCAGUGAGGAAGAACGCCUGGUGGUUAAUACCCAUCAGGAAAGACAUCACUCACAGAAGAAGCACCGGCUAACUCCGUGCCAGCAGCCGCGGUAAUACGGAGGGUGCGAGCGUUAAUCGGAAUUACUGGGCGUAAAGCGCGCGUAGGUGGCUUGAUAAGCCGGUUGUGAAAGCCCCGGGCUCAACCUGGGAACGGCAUCCGGAACUGUCAAGCUAGAGGGCAGGAGAGGAAGGUAGAAUUCCCGGUGUAGCGGUGAAAUGCGUAGAGAUCGGGAGGAAUACCAGUGGCGAAGGCGGCCUUCUGGACUGACACUGACACUGAGGUGCGAAAGCGUGGGUAGCAAACAGGAUUAGAUACCCUAGUAGUC
rnacentral:rRNA from 1 species